UACGUAGGGUGCAAGCGUUGUCCGGAAUUAUUGGGCGUAAAGAGCUCGUAGGCGGUUUGUCGCGUCUGCUGGGAAAACUGGAGGCUCAACCUCCAGCCUGCAGUGGGUACGGGCAGACUAGAGUGCGGUAGGGGAGAUUGGAAUUCCUGGUGUAGCGGUGGAAUGCGCAGAUAUCAGGAGGAACACCAAUGGCGAAGGCAGAUCUCUGGGCCGUAACUGACGCUGAGGAGCGAAAGCAUGGGGAGCGAACAGG
rnacentral:rRNA from 1 species